rnacentral:lncRNA from 1 species
AUUAUAUCGUGUUGAUUUUAAAAAUAUUGCACAAUGUCUCCUGAUUGUGAUUUAGAAAACACGUAAUGUGAUUCUACUAUUUCUAGACACUGAUACCAAAAAUAUCUUCAUUCUGAUUUGUGCGAAUCAUCAUACGAUCCAACGGUGUGGCCUGAUGGAAGGUCACAGAAGGAAUGAAGAUUCCAAUUAUAGGGGAAAUGAGGAAGAGGAUUCAAUAAAUUAAAGAAGAUUAACCAAACUUAUUACCGAAGUUAGGAAAAUGAUGGAAAACUAGAAGACAAACACGAUGAAUGAGAAGAACUUACGUAGAAAUUAAACAAGUUAACGCAAUAAAAAUUGGAAUAAAUCUACAGUAGUAAUGAGUGAUAACUCAUUUUAAAGGUUUUCCUACAUAGGUACAUUAUAUUUGUUUUCAGUACUUUUUGAAAAAUCUUGGACUCAAUACUACUCCAAAAAGUUCUUGGUGUUCUGAGUUCAAUACUUAAUAUCUUACUCUCAAUACUGGUCUACGAAAUGUCCUGUCACAAACAAAUUUCACGUGUUUUUGCAUAUUAUUCUUAAAUUGUCUAUAGGAACCAAAUUAUAGAGGGUGGUAUCCUCUACUUUUGGAGUUCUGAACUCGAUACUCAAUAUCUUUACGGUUCUACUUAAGUCUUCCAAAAUACUCAAAAAAAUAUUUGGAGCUCUGAACUCGAUACUGAAUACCUCUACGGUUUCACUUGAUUUUUCCUAAGUAUUUAACACUAAUAUAAUGUAUAUGGUAUUAUUGAAAAGGUGGUUGAACGACCUUUAAAAUGAGUUAUCACUCAACCCCCCUUUCCAUUAAAGAUUUCGGGGAUUGUGUCCGCCCCCGCUAGAGGCUCCCGCAUUCACAAAUAUAUUUGACGUGUUUUUGCAUAUUUUUAGAUUUUCUAUAAGGACCAAAUUAUAGAAGGUAGUACUUUUUCAAAUUGACCCACAGUAUGUACCUUGAUGAGUCCUCUGGGAGCAAAGUUGGUCGAGAAAAGGGUUUGCGAAUGAUAGUAGACAAGAAUGAGCCUUUGAAUAAUGCAAAAUUAAAAAAAAGAAAUGAGAUAAAAUGUAGCAUACUUAAAUAACAAGUUCAAAAGUUGGAAAGAUAACUGAACACAAUGUAUGUCCAAAAAUAGAACUUUAGCCAAAAGCUGUCAUCUAAACCUAAAAGACCGACGAAUUUCAGUAGGAAGUUUAACUACAAUUUUAUCCCUUCUGAUCUUUUGUGUAUUGAAAAUGUCAUAUGAGAUAAACAAAAAAAAAGGAAAUGUUAUCUUUUGGUUGAAACAAAAAAAAAAA